AUUCUACUCCCUCUGUUGCACAAUACAUGCCUUCUAUUUGUCAAAAUAUAUAUGUAUCUAGACAUGUCUUAGUAUAUAGGUACAUCCAUUUUUGGACAAAUGGAAGUCAAGUAUUUUGGAACGGAGGAAGUACACA
rnacentral:pre_miRNA from 1 species